UGCCAGGCAUCCCCAGUUGCUGUACGAGAGCAGGCUCUAUAAGAUUCUUCAAGGUGAGGUUGGCAUCCGCCACAUAACGGUGGUAUGGUCAGGAAAAAGACUAUAAUGUACUAGUCAUGGAUUUUCUGGGACCUAGCCUCGAAGGCCAAUUUCUGUUCAAGAAGGUUCACAAUGAAAACUGUACUUAUAUUAGCUGACCAGAUGAUCAGUAGAAUUGAACAUGUGCAUAAAAAGAAUUUUAUACACAGAGCCAUUAAACCAGAUAACUUCCUAAUGGGUAUUGGGCGUCACUGUAGUAAGUUAUUCCUUAUUGAUUUUGGUUUGGCCAAAAAGUACAGAGACAACAGGACAAGGCAACACAGGCCAUACAGAGAAGAUAAAAACCUCACUGGCACUGCCCUAUAUGCUACCAUCAGUGCACAUCUUGGUAUUGAGCAGAGUCACCAGGAUGACAAGGAAUCAUUAGGAUAUGUUUUGAUGUAUUUUAAUAGAACCAGCCUGCCAUGGCGAGGGCUAAAGGCUGCAACAAAGAAACAAAAAUAUGAAAAGAUUAAUGAAAAGAUGUCCACUCCUGCUGAAGUUUUACGUAAGGGGUUUCCUGCAGAAUUUGCCAUAUACUUAAACUAUUGUCGUGGGCUACACUUUGAGAAAGCCCCAGAUUGCAUGUAUCUGAGGCAGCUACUCUUCAUUCUUUUCAGGACCCUGAGCCAUCAGUAUGACUACACAUUUGACUGGACAAUGUUAAAGCAGAAAGCAGCCCAGCAGACAGGCUCUUCUACUGGGCAGGGGCAGCAGGACCAAACCCCAACAGGUAAGCAACCUGACAAAACCAAGAGUAACAUGAAAGGUUUCUAAGCAUGAAUUGAGGAACAGAGAAGCAGAGCAGAUGAUUCAGAGCAGCAUUUGUUUCUCCCC